UUGUGAACACUUAUCCGCUGGAUAGCGAUUUAUCCGGUGAAAAGUGUUAUUCAACCUUCGAACAACCGGGGCCAGAUGUUAUUUUAGACCGCGGCUCAUGAUAAUGUGCUAUAGUUUCGUUUUUUUUUUUUUAUUAUCAUAAGCAGCUCCAAAAUUUGAAUGAUUUCAGUUGCAGAGAAAACAUGCAAACUGUAUUUCCUGGGUUAUAUAUUUAUAGUUGAACCCUGAAGCAAAAAGGACAGGAAUCAGUUGCUAUCAUUUGCAGACAAAACAUGUAACCUGUAUUUCCUGGGUUAUAUAUUAAUAGUUGAGCCCUAAAGCCACAAGGACAGGAAACAGUUGCGUCUGACGUCAUCGAAAACUGCGGCGCGUGCUCAUUUGGCUUUUUGUGCUCUUUUGUGCUCUGCUUUCCCGUCGUCUUCCCGUUGCGAGCGUAAGUCGGUGCUGUUUCCCGUUGAGUCCACAACGUGAAACUUUUUUUGACAAUUUCUUUCGUCGUAGUUCAUCCGUCCUCAGAGCAGAUCAAGUCGAUAAAGGACUCAGACGAGGAUCAAACAACAAAGAAAAAGUAGAGAACGGAGAAUACUUCUCUGUUUGCUAAUAAUCCUUGAAAGAUGGGAUUUGUUGCUGUUGCUGUUGAGAUUUCACUGAUAUUGCUGUUAACAGUUUUCUGUGGAGU